UACGAAGGGGGCUAGCGUUGCUCGGAAUCACUGGGCGUAAAGGGCGCGUAGGCGGCUUAUCAAGUCGGGGGUGAAAGCCCGUGGCUCAACCACGGAAUGGCCUUCGAUACUGGUAGGCUUGAGACCGGAAGAGGACAGCGGAACUGCGAGUGUAGAGGUGAAAUUCGUAGGUAUUCGCAAGAACACCAGUGGCGAAGGCGGCUGUCUGGACAGGUACUGACGCUGAGACGCGAAAGCGUGGGUAGCAAACAGG
rnacentral:rRNA from 1 species